GGGUUGUGAGGUUAAGCGACUAAGCGUACACGGUGGAUGCCCUGGCAGUCAGAGGCGAUGAAGGGCGUGCUAAUCUGCGAUAAGCGCCGGUAAGGUGAUAUGAACCGUUAUAACCGGCGAUACCCGAAUGGGGAAACCCAGUGUGAUUCGUCACACUAUCAUUAACUGAAUCCAUAGGUUAAUGAGGCGAACCGGGGGAACUGAAACAUCUAAGUACCCCGAGGAAAAGAAAUCAACCGAGAUUCCCCCAGUAGCGGCGAGCGAACGGGGAGGAGCCCAGAGCCUGAAUCAGCAUGUGUGUUAGUGGAAGCGUCUGGAAAGGCGCGCGAUACAGGGUGACAGCCCCGUACACAAAAGCGCAUAUGCUGUGAGCUCGAUGAGUAGGGCGGGACACGUGGUAUCCUGUCUGAAUAUGGGGGGACCAUCCUCCAAGGCUAAAUACUCCUGACUGACCGAUAGUGAACCAGUACCGUGAGGGAAAGGCGAAAAGAACCCCGGCGAGGGGAGUGAAAAAGAACCUGAAACCGUGUACGUACAAGCAGUGGGAGCCCCACCACUAAGCCAGUGGUGAACUCCACAUACGCAUCCUUUGCUGAGGAGACGGUUAACGGAGCGAAAGCGACGUUCAACCUCAAAAGAAGCAGAGGGGGCUUAGUGGUGGGGUGACUGCGUACCUUUUGUAUAAUGGGUCAGCGACUUAUAUUCUGUAGCAAGGUUAACUGUAUAGGGGAGCCGGAGGGAAACCGAGUCUUAACCGGGCGUUAAGUUGCAGGGUAUAGACCCGAAACCCGGUGAUCUAGCCAUGGGCAGGUUGAAGGUUGGGUAACACUAACUGGAGGACCGAACCGACUAAUGUUGAAAAAUUAGCGGAUGACCUGUGGCUGGGGGUGAAAGGCCAAUCAAACCGGGAGAUAGCUGGUUCUCCCCGAAAGCUAUUUAGGUAGCGCCUCGUGAAUUCAUCUCCGGGGGUAGAGCACUGUUUCGGCUAGGGGGCCAUCCCGGCUUACCAACCCGAUGCAAACUGCGAAUACCGGAGAAUGUUAUCACGGGAGACACACGGCGGGUGCUAAUGUCCGUCGUGAAGAGGGAAACAACCCAGACCGCCAGCUAAGGUCCCAAAGUCAUGGUUAAGUGGGAAACGAUGUGGGAAGGCCCAGACAGCCAGGAUGUUGGCUUAGAAGCAGCCAUCAUUUAAAGAAAGCGUAAUAGCUCACUGGUCGAGUCGGCCUGCGCGGAAGAUGUAACGGGGCUAAACCAUGCACCGAAGCUGCGGCAGCGACACCGUGUGUUGUUGGGUAGGGGAGCGUUCUGUAAGCCUGUGAAGGUGUGCUGUGAGGCAUGCUGGAGGUAUCAGAAGUGCGAAUGCUGACAUAAGUAACGAUAAAGCGGGUGAAAAGCCCGCUCGCCGGAAGACCAAGGGUUCCUGUCCAACGUUAAUCGGGGCAGGGUGAGUCGACCCCUAAGGCGAGGCCGAAAGGCGUAGUCGAUGGGAAACGGGUUAAUAUUCCCGUACUUGGUGUUACUGCGAAGGGGGGACGGAGAAGGCUAUGUUGGCCGGGCGACGGUUGUCCCGGUUUAAGCGUGUAGGUAUGUGUUCCAGGUAAAUCCGGUUCACUUUAACACUGAGGCGUGACGACGAGGCACUACGGUGCUGAAGCAACAAAUGCCCUGCUUCCAGGAAAAGCCUCUAAGCAUCAGGUAACAUCAAAUCGUACCCCAAACCGACACAGGUGGUCAGGUAGAGAAUACCAAGGCGCUUGAGAGAACUCGGGUGAAGGAACUAGGCAAAAUGGUGCCGUAACUUCGGGAGAAGGCACGCUGACACGUAGGUGAAGUGAUUUACUCACGGAGCUGAAGUCAGCCGAAGAUACCAGCUGGCUGCAACUGUUUAUUAAAAACACAGCACUGUGCAAACACGAAAGUGGACGUAUACGGUGUGACGCCUGCCCGGUGCCGGAAGGUUAAUUGAUGGGGUCAGCGCAAGCGAAGCUCCUGAUCGAAGCCCCGGUAAACGGCGGCCGUAACUAUAACGGUCCUAAGGUAGCGAAAUUCCUUGUCGGGUAAGUUCCGACCUGCACGAAUGGCGUAAUGAUGGCCAGGCUGUCUCCACCCGAGACUCAGUGAAAUUGAACUCGCUGUGAAGAUGCAGUGUACCCGCGGCAAGACGGAAAGACCCCGUGAACCUUUACUAUAGCUUGACACUGAACAUUGAGCCUUGAUGUGUAGGAUAGGUGGGAGGCUU
rnacentral:rRNA from 4 species